rnacentral:lncRNA from 1 species
GUGAGGUGUAGUCGCGGCAACCAGGAGGUGGGCGUGUGGUAACGCGGCGCGCGGGAGGGUGGCUUGAAAGGGUCUUUAUGAACCCUAGGGAAAGGCCGUCUGGUAGGAACUCCAUUUCAAGACCUUUUAAAGUGAGACCUGCAUAUGUUGAAAGAGUUUCAGAGAGUGAAGCUGGGUUCUUAGAAGCUGGAAUGUCCCAGCAGAAUGUAGAAAUGCGAAAAAUUCGGCACAGUAGUCUAAAGUGCACCCACCACUAGAAUUUGAACAUCCUAAGAACAGGUAUUUUUGUCUCUGCUUUGCUGAUGUAUCCUCAGCAACCGGAACUGCCUGACAUCUGAUCCUUUCUGUGAGACACCAGGCUGUUGAGGAAGAAUCUAUGGCAACAUUGUAUCUAUUAAUAUACAGCUUCUGUAUUUAUCAGGCCCAGUUCUGGUGAUGAUUUCACUUUUGACAGAAGCUGUCCCUCAAAAGCAAACAUGCAAUAGAAGAAACAGAUCUCAAUGCCAUCCAUCUGCAGUUGUGACAAGCAAAAAAGUCUCCAGACAUGGCCAAAUGUCCCCUGGGGGGCAAAAUCACCCCCAAUUGAGAACUACUGCUCUAAACUAAGCAGUCUUGGUAUCCUGAAGCUGGAGCAAAAUGCGACAAAGUGAAGAAGUUCCUACUGACUGGGCACACAGUCAAAUGCAUGUCACCAAGACUGGGGGUUCAGUCACAUGCUGUUCUUCCUUGAUUAAAAAACUCAUUAAUCUGACUA